rnacentral:rRNA from 1 species
AUAGCGUAUAUUAAAGUUGUUGCAGUUAAAAAGCUCGUAGUUGAAUCUUUGGCCUGGCUGGCGGGUCCGCCUCACCGCGUGCACUUGUCCGGCCGGGCCUUCUCUUCUGGAGAACCGCAUGCCCUUCACUGGGCGUGUUGGGGACCAGGACUUUUACUUUGAAAAAAUUAGAGUGUUCAAAGCAGGCCUUUGCUCGAAUACGUUAGCAUGGAAUAAUAGAAUAGGACGUGCGGUCCUAUUUUGUUGUUUUCUAGGACCGCCGUAAUGAUUAAUAGGGACAGUCGGGGGCAUCAGUAUUCAAUUGUCAGAGGUGAAAUUCUUGGAUUUAUUGAAGACUAACUACUG